CACCCGUAGUUCUGCAGAUGGCCUGCAGGGAAAUGUAGUCCGGGCCGGAGGCCCACGCGGGUCAAAAAGCAUUUCAACAUAAUCAGUUCGCGCAGUCUCACCUGGGCUGAAAUAAAAGCGGCUUCUCUCCAUUGGAGCUCACAAAAUACAGAACACAUAAGUGUAUAGUGUAUCUUCUCUCAAAAACAUCCAACACGGCCACUUCUUCCUCCAGCAUCGGAGUGGAUUACUGGUCUUCUGGAUUCUGCAGGCUUUGUCAAGAGUCCGCCCAUGCCCAACAGAUUUGGUAAUCCAGGCAUUCCUGA